rfam:Echinococcus multilocularis genomic scaffold, pathogen_EmW_scaffold_09
UGACCUCUGAUCAGUGGUGGGUACCUGCUAAAAUUAAGCAUAUCAAUAAGCGGAGGAGAAGAAACCAACCAGGAUUCCCCCAGUAACGGUGAGUGACGAGGCAGAAACCCAGUACCAAAGCCUGCGGCAGGUUUGUCGGUAGGCCGUGUGGUGUGUGGGUUGGCUGGCGGGACCGCCACUCCACUCCAAGUCCAGCAUUGAGUAUGGUUGUGAGUGAAUUUGGCCCAUAGAGGAUGAUAGGCCCGUAAAGGGGGAGGCUCAGAUAGGUGAGGCGGUUCACCAGGCCGGCUCAGGAGUCGGGUUGUUUGAGAUUGCAGCCCAAAGUGGGUGGUAAACUCCAUCCAAGGCUAAAUACAGGCACAAGUCUGAUAGCGGACAAUUACCGUGAGGGAAAGUUGAAAAGUACUCUGAAGAGAGAGUAAAGAGUGCUUGAAACCGCGUGCAGGUAAGCGGGUGGCGUCAAGCUGCUAGCCGGGAGGACUCAGCUGGCUGCAGUGUAGUGUGCGCGCCUAGUGCGUCACCGUUAAUGGGCCGGAGAGAGGCGGUGGUCUGCUCCUUGUGAAGGAGCGGAGCAUGACUGUGAUCGCGGCCCACUGUUUCUCCUUCAACUCGCCGCCGUCUAAUUCUGUCUGUCUGCCUAUCUAUCUAUCCGCCUGUGUGUCCACCUAUCUCUCCUGCGUGGGUAGGCUGGUGGUUAGGUGGGUGGGUGGGUGCGUGAAUAUGCGGAGGGCGGGGUGGAGUGAGUGGUCGGUGGAUCCGAGGUCGCGGUCUGUGCUUUGUCUGUCGGACGGGCGCCGGAGCAUGCCACUCGUCUGUGGGCCUUACAGUCAGUGCACUUUCUCCGUGGCGAACACCACGACCAGUGGGAUUGCCAGUCUGCCGUGGUCGAGUCGUGCCCACCUGGUAUUUCGUCUCCUCCUCCUCCUCCUCGCUCCAUUGGCCAGUUAGUUGGCUUCACCCCUGACUGGCUGAAUGGCUGACCGACGGGUGGGUGGGAUGGAUCAGCUGGGCACGAUCGUGGAUAGGUGAGUGGACGGCGCGGUGGUGCACCGGUGCUGCUGCGUGCUAUCGUGCGCUUCCUGUCAACGAGCUACUGUUGUCUGCUGUGCUGUGACCUCACUGUUGGUGGCUUGGCGGGCUGCGGUGAUGUAGGUGACUGUGCAAGGCAUCGGUUUUAUCCGCCUCAUUUAUUCGUUCGUUCGUUUCUUCGAAUUCACGAGCGGUUGGGGUAUCCAGCACGCACGUUACAGGGCGCGGCUGCCGUGUUGCCUGCAAAAUGCGGGUUCGCCGGUGGUACGUCGUCGCUUGUCACGGUGAGCAGCUUCGCAUUGCCUCGGGUGCAUGGGGUACCGGGGGUGGGAUAGUCCGUGGUGCGGUGGUAGACUAGCCACCUGACCCGUCUUGAAACACGGACCAGGGAGUUUAAUAUGUGUGCGAGUCAAAGGGUGUGCUCGAGACCCCGAGGCGUAGUGAAAGUGAAGUCUGCGUCGUACGCGCGCGGUGCGGUGCGGCGAGGUGAGAUCCUGCUGUUGGCGUGCGGCCGGCCAUGCCAGGCUAGUGCAGGCGGCCUAUCGAGCAGUGGGCGCAUCACCGGCCCGUCCCAUGGUGUGGUCAUUGGUGUGCGUUGAAGUGGUCGCGUGUGCGGCUGCGUCAGCUAGGCAGCCAGUGCGUCAUCGGGGCGGACCGUGACCAUGUAUGUUGAGAUCCGAAAGGUGGUGAACUAUGCUUGCGUAGGUCGAAGCCAGAGGAAACUCUGGUGGAGGACCAUAGCGAUUCUGACGUGCAAAUCGAUCGUCAAACGUGAGUAUAGGGGCGAAAGACUAAUCAAACCGUCUAGUAGCUGGUUCCCUCCGAAGUUUCCCCAGGAUAACUGGCACUCAUUAGCAUAAUCAGUUUUAUCGGGUAAAGCGAAUGAUUAGAGGUGCUGGGCUCGAAACGAGCUCAACCUAUUCUCAAACUUUAAAUGGUUGAGGUGUUCAACUCACUUCAUACGCGUGUAUUGCUGCAGGUGGAGUUGGGCGUUGAAUGUGCGAGUGUCAAGUGGGCCGUUUUUGGUAAGCAGAACUGGCGCUGCAGGAUGAACCAAACGCCCGGUUAAGGUGCCUAACGCUGACGCUCAUGAGAUACCACAAAAGGUGUUGGUUAAUACAGACAGCAGGACGGUGGCCAUGGAAGUCGGCAUCCGUAAGGAGCGUGUAACAACUCACCUGUCGAAUUGACCAUCCCUGAAAAUGGAUGGCACUGGAGCGUCGGACCUACACCGGGCCGUCAUUGCAAGCUGGAUUGGUGGCUGUGCGUGUUUGCGUCAUGGUCCAGGCGUGGAGUGCGAUGCUGAGUAGGAGGGUCGCCGCGGUGAGCGUGGAAGCCGCAGACGUGAGUCGUGGUGGAGCCGCCACGGGUGCAGAUCUUGGUGGUAGUUGCAAGUAUUCAAGUGAGAACCUUGAGGGCCGAGGUGGAGAAGGGUUCCAUGGGAACAGCAGUUGGCCAUGGGUCAGGCGGUCCUAAGUGAUCCGGUGACUCGGUGCAGAGUCGUGCGGCCUGCCACAUGGUGAGGCAGCUAUAGCACUUUCCAUUCGCCGGUUUCCUUCGCACGCAGCUAGUGUGCUGCGGCGUCCGUUGAUGGUCUGGCUGGUAGUGCGAGGCCAGAGCGUAGACCACAACCACGUGCAUCAGAUGGUCAUGGUGCUGCGUGGGGGUCGAUACGAUAUCCAAUUGUGGAAUGAGGGUGCAGGCACUAAAUCGUUUGUAGACGACUUAAUACUUUGUCGGGGGGACGUGAGUACUGGAGCAGCUAUCACACUGCUAGGUGUUGAGUCCUAUCCCUACUUGACGUUAUGAUUUGC